AGAGUUUGAUCCUGGCUCAGGACGAACGCUGGCGGCGCGCCUAACACAUGCAAGUCGAACGAGCGAGAGAGAGCUUGCUUUCUCGAGCGAGUGGCGAACGGGUGAGUAACGCGUGAGGAACCUGCCUCAAAGAGGGGGACAACAGUUGGAAACGACUGCUAAUACCGCAUAAGCCCACAGGUCGGCAUCGACCAGAGGGAAAAGGAGCAAUCCGCUUUGAGAUGGCUUCGCGUCCGAUUAGCUAGUUGGUGAGGUAACGGCCCACCAAGGCAACGAUCGGUAGCCGGACUGAGAGGUUGAACGGCCACAUUGGGACUGAGACACGGCCCAGACUCCUACGGGAGGCAGCAGUGGGGAAUAUUGCACAAUGGGGGAAACCCUGAUGCAGCGACGCCGCGUGGAGGAAGAAGGUCUUCGGAUUGUAAACUCCUGUUGUUGAGGAAGAUAAUGACGGUACUCAACAAGGAAGUGACGGCUAACUACGUGCCAGCAGCCGCGGUAAAACGUAGGUCACAAGCGUUGUCCGGAAUUACUGGGUGUAAAGGGAGCGCAGGCGGGAAGACAAGUUGGAAGUGAAAUCUAUGGGCUCAACCCAUAAACUGCUUUCAAAACUGUUUUUCUUGAGUAGUGCAGAGGUAGGCGGAAAUCCCGGUGUAGCGGUGGAAUGCGUAGAUAUCGGGAGGAACACCAGUGGCGAAGGCGGCCUACUGGGCACCAACUGACGCUGAGGCUCGAAAGUGUGGGUAGCAAACAGGAUUAGAUACCCUGGUAGUCCACACCGUAAACGAU
rnacentral:rRNA from 1 species